rnacentral:rRNA from 1 species
UGGGGAAUAUUGGACAAUGGGGGAAACCCUGAUCCAGCGACGCCGCGUGUGUGAAGAAGGCCUGCGGGUUGUAAAGCACUUUCGGUGGGAACGAAAUAUGCCGGGCUAAUACCCCGGUAGGCUGACGUUACUCAAUGAAGAAGCACCAGCUAACUCUGUGCCAGCGGCCGCGGUAAUACGUAGGGUGCAGGCGUUAAUCGGAAUUACUGGGCGUAAAGCGUGCGCAGGCGGCUCCUUAAGUCAGAUGUGAAAUCCCCGGGCUUAACCUGGGAACUGCGUUUGAAACUGAGGGGCUAGAGUGUGGAAGAGGGGGGUGGAAUUCCAGGUGUAGCAGUGAAAUGCGUAGAGAUCUGGAGGAACACCGAUGGCGAAGGCAGCCCCCUGGGAUAACACUGACGCUCAUGCACGAAAGCGUGGGGAGCAAACAGGAUUAGAUACCCAAGUAGUCCCUGAGCGGGCUGGCAAGGCGCAU